GAUGAACGCUGGCGGCGUGCCUAAUACAUGCAAGUCGAACGCUGAAGCUUGGUGCUUGCACCGAGCGGAUGAGUUGCGAACGGGUGAGUAACGCGUAGGUAACCUGCCUCUUAGCGGGGGAUAACUAUUGGAAACGAUAGCUAAUACCGCAUAAAAGUCGAUAUCGCAUGAUAUUGAUUUGAAAGGUGCAAAUGCAUCACUAAGAGAUGGACCUGCGUUGUAUUAGCUAGUUGGUGAGGUAACGGCUCACCAAGGCGACGAUACAUAGCCGACCUGAGAGGGUGAUCGGCCACACUGGGACUGAGACACGGCCCAGACUCCUACGGGAGGCAGCAGUAGGGAAUCUUCGGCAAUGGGGGCAAACCUGACCGAGCAACGCCGCGUGAGUGAAGAAGGUUUUCGGAUCGUAAAGCUCUGUUGUAAGAGAAGAACGAGUGUGAGAGUGGAAAGUUCACACUGUGACGGUAACUUACCAGAAAGGGACGGCUAACUACGUG
rnacentral:rRNA from 1 species